rnacentral:rRNA from 1 species
GACGUAGGGCGCGAGCGUUGUCCGGAUUUAUUGGGCGUAAAGAGCUCGUAGGCGGCUUGUUGCGUCGACUGUGAAAACCUGCGGCUCAACCGUGUGGUCUGCAGUCGAUACGGGCAGGCUGGAGUUCGGUAGGGGAGACUGGAAUUCCUGGUGUAGCGGUGAAAUGCGUAGAUAUCUGGAGGAACACCGGUGGCGAAGGCGGCAUCCUGGACCGACACUGACGCUGAGGAGCGAAAGCCAGGGGAGCAAACGGG